rnacentral:misc_RNA from 1 species
GAUCAUUAACGCGCAGGCCGGAGGCUGGCCCCCCACGAUAGGGCCAAACGUCCGUCAGGGGUGAGCAGAUGUGCGCCGGCCGUACCGCCCCAUUCUUGUCUACCUUACUCGGUUGCCUCGGCGGGCCGCGCUCUCUCAGGAGAGCCGUUCGGCGAGCCUCUCUUUAGUGGCUCAACGCUGGACCGCGCCCGCCGGAGGACAGACGCAAAAAAAUUCUUUCAGAAGAGCUGUCAGUCUGAGCGUUAGCAAGCAAAAAUCAGUUAAAACUUUCAACAACGGAUCUCUUGGUUCCGGCAUCGAUGAAGAACGCAGCGAAAUGCGAUAAGUAAUGUGAAUUGCAGAAUUCCGUGAAUCAUCGAAUCUUUGAACGCACAUUGCGCCCCCUGGCAUUCCGGGGGGCAUGCCUGUUCGAGCGUCAUUUCAGCCCCUCAAGCCCGGCUUGUGUGAUGGACGACCGUCCGGCGCCCCCGUCUUUGGGGGUGCGGGACGCGCCCGAAAAGCAGUGGCCAGGCCGCGAUUCCGGCUUCCUAGGCGAAUGGGCAACAAACCAGCGCCUCCAGGACCGGCCGCCCUGGCCUCAAAAUCUGUUUUAUACUUAUCAGGUUGACCUCGGAUCAGGUA